UCGGGAAUCUUGGACAAUGGGCGAAAGCCUGAUCCAGCCAUGCCGCGUGUGUGAAGAAGGUCUUCGGAUUGUAAAGCACUUUAAGUUGGGAGGAAGGGCAGUAAGUUAAUACCUUGCUGUUUUGACGUUACCGACAGAAUAAGCACCGGCUAACUCUGUGCCAGCAGCCGCGGUAAUACAGAGGGUGCAAGCGUUAAUCGGAAUUACUGGGCGUAAAGCGCGCGUAGGUGGUUUGUUAAGUUGGAUGUGAAAGCCCCGGGCUCAACCUGGGAACUGCAUCCAAAACUGGCAAGCUAGAGUACGGUAGAGGGUGGUGGAAUUUCCUGUGUAGCGGUGAAAUGCGUAGAUAUAGGAAGGAACACCAGUGGCGAAGGCGACCACCUGGACUGAUACUGACACUGAGGUGCGAAAGCGUGGGGAGCAAACAGGAUUAGAUACCCACGUAGUCCCUGAGCGGGCUGGCAAGGCGCAU
rnacentral:rRNA from 1 species